rnacentral:rRNA from 1 species
AGCGAACGCUGGCGGCAGGCUUAACACAUGCAAGUCGAGCGGGCCCUUCGGGGUCAGCGGCGGACGGGUGAGUAACGCGUGGGAACGUGCCCUCUGGUCUGGAAUAACCCUGGGAAACUAGGGCUAAUACCGGAUACGCCCUUUUGGGGAAAGGUUUACUGCCGUAGGAUCGGCCCGCGUCUGAUUAGCUAGUUGGUGGGGUAACGGCCUACCAAGGCGACGAUCAGUAGCUGGUCUGAGAGGAUGAUCAGCCACACUGGGACUGAGACACGGCCCAGACUCCUACGGGAGGCAGCAGUGGGGAAUAUUGGACAAUGGGCGCAAGCCUGAUCCAGCCAUGCCGCGUGAGUGAUGAAGGCCUUAGGGUUGUAAAGCUCUUUUAUCCGGGACGAUAAUGACGGUACCGGAGGAAUAAGCCCCGGCUAACUUCGUG